rnacentral:rRNA from 1 species
GAUGAACGCUGGCGGCGUGCCUAAUACAUGCAAGUCGAGCGAACAGAUGAGGAGCUUGCUCCUUUGACGUUAGCGGCGGACGGGUGAGUAACACGUGGGUAACCUACCUAUAAGACUGGGAUAGCUUCGGGAAACCGGAGCUAAUACCGGAUAAUAUUUCGAACCGCAUGGUUCGAUAGUGAAAGAUGGCUUUGCUAUCACUUAUAGAUGGACCUGCGCCGUAUUAGCUAGUUGGUAAGGUAACGGCUUACCAAGGCAACGAUACGUAGCCGACCUGAGAGGGUGAUCGGCCACACUGGAACUGAGACACGGUCCAGACUCCUACGGGAGGCAGCAGUAGGGAAUCUUCCGCAAUGGGCGAAAGCCUGACGGAGCAACGCCGCGUGAGUGAUGAAGGUCUUCGGAUCGUAAAACUCUGUUAUUAGGGAAGAACAAACGUGUAAGUAACUGUGCACGUCUUGACGGUACCUAAUCAGAAAGCCACGGCUAACUACGUGCCAGCAGCCGCGGUAAUACGUAGGUGGCAAGCGUUAUCCGGAAUUAUUGGGCGUAAAGCGCGCGUAGGCGGUUUUUUAAGUCUGAUGUGAAAGCCCACGGCUCAACCGUGGAGGGUCAUUGGAAACUGGAAAACUUGAGUGCAGAAGAGGAAAGUGGAAUUCCAUGUGUAGCGGUGAAAUGCGCAGAGAUAUGGAGGAACACCAGUGGCGAAGGCGACUUUCUGGUCUGUAACUGACGCUGAUGUGCGAAAGCGUGGGGAUCAAACAGGAUUAGAUACCCUGGUAGUCCACGCCGUAAACGAUGAGUGCUAAGUGUUAGGGGGUUUCCGCCCCUUAGUGCUGCAGCUAACGCAUUAAGCACUCCGCCUGGGGAGUACGACCGCAAGGUUGAAACCCAAAGGAAUUGACGGGGACCCGCACAAGCGGUGGAGCAUGUGGUUUAAUUCGAAGCAACGCGAAGAACCUUACCAAAUCUUGACAUCCUUUGACCCUUCUAGAGAUAGAAGUUUCCCCUUCGGGGGACAAAGUGACAGGUGGUGCAUGGUUGUCGUCAGCUCGUGUCGUGAGAUGUUGGGUUAAGUCCCGCAACGAGCGCAACCCUUAAGCUUAGUUGCCAUCAUUAAGUUGGGCACUCUAAGUUGACUGCCGGUGACAAACCGGAGGAAGGUGGGGAUGACGUCAAAUCAUCAUGCCCCUUAUGAUUUGGGCUACACACGUGCUACAAUGGACAAUACAAAGGGCAGCGAAACCGCGAGGUCAAGCAAAUCCCAUAAAGUUGUUCUCAGUUCGGAUUGUAGUCUGCAACUCGACUACAUGAAGCUGGAAUCGCUAGUAAUCGUAGAUCAGCAUGCUACGGUGAAUACGUUCCCGGGUCU